rfam:Triticum aestivum genome assembly, contig: Triticum_aestivum_CS42_TGACv1_scaffold_377345_5AL
CAACUACUCACUCGGUCCGAAAAUAUUUGUCAUCAAAAUGGAUUAAAAAAAUGUAUCUAGAACUGAAUUCGUCUAGAUACAUCAUCUUUUAUCCAUUUUGAUGACAAAUAUUUUCAGACAGAGGGAGUAUAAG